UACGUAGGGUCCGAGCGUUGUCCGGAAUUAUUGGGCGUAAAGAGCUCGUAGGCGGUUUGUUGCGUCUAUCGUGAAAACCUGCAGCUUAACUGUGGGCUUGCGGUGGAUACAGGCAGACUUGAGUUCGGUAGGGGAGACUGGAAUUCCUGGUGUAGCGGUGAAAUGCGCAGAUAUCAGGAGGAACACCGGUGGCGAAGGCGGGUCUCUGGGCCGAUACUGACGCUGAGGAGCGAAAGCGUGGGGAGCAAACAGG
rnacentral:rRNA from 1 species